rnacentral:rRNA from 1 species
AACGAACGCUGGCGGCAGGCUUAACACAUGCAAGUCGAACGAGAUCUUCGGAUCUAGUGGCAGACGGGUGAGGAACACGUGGGAACAUUCCUUUCAGUUCGGAAUAACGUUGGGAAACUAACGCUAAUACCGGAUACGUCCUUCGGGAGAAAGAUUUAUCGCUGAAAGAUUGGCCCGCGUCUGAUUAGCUAGUUGGUGAGGUAACGUCUCACCAAGGCUACGAUCAGUAGCUGAUCUGAGAGGAUGAUCAGCCACAUUGGGACUGAGACACGGCCCAAACUCCUACGGGAGGCAGCAGUGGGGAAUAUUGGACAAUGGGCGCAAGCCUGAUCCAGCCAUGCCGCGUGAGUGAUGAAGGCCUUCGGGUUGUAAAGCUCUUUUAUCCGGGAAGAUAAUGACUGUACCGGAAGAAUAAGCCCCGGCAAACUUCGUGCCAGCCGCCGCAGUAACAC